ACUUCCAAUCCGUGAAAUUGACCUUCCCGUGAAGAGGCGGGAAUACGACAAUAAGACGAGAAGACCCUGUGGAGCUUUAAUUAAUCGACCCAAAGAGACCUUAAUAACCAACCGACAGGAACAACAGACCUCUGCCAUGGGCCGACAAUUUAGGUUGGGGUGACCUCGGAGAAUAAAACAACCUCCGAGUGAUUUAAAUCUAGACUAACCAGUCGAAAGUAUUACAUCACUUAUUGAUCCNAAAGCCUGAUCAACGGAACAAGUUACCCCAGGGAUAACAGCGCAAUCCUAUUUC
rnacentral:rRNA from 1 species